GUCGAACGAAACUUCUUUAUCACCGAGUGCUUGCACUCACCGAUAAAGAGUUGAGUGGCGAACGGGUGAGUAACACGUGGGCAACCUGCCCAAAAGAGGGGGAUAACACUUGGAAACAGGUGCUAAUACCGCAUAACCAUAGUUACCGCAUGGUAACUAUGUAAAAGGUGGCUAUGCUACCGCUUUUGGAUGGGCCCGCGGCGCAUUAGCUAGUUGGUGAGGUAAAGGCUUACCAAGGCAAUGAUGCGUAGCCGAACUGAGAGGUUGAUCGGCCACAUUGGGACUGAGACACGGCCCAAACUCCUACGGGAGGCAGCAGUAGGGAAUCUUCCACAAUGGGCGAAAGCCUGAUGGAGCAACGCCGCGUGGGUGAAGAAGGUCUUCGGAUCGUAAAACCCUGUUGUUAGAGAAGAAAGUGCGUGAGAGUAACUGUUCACGUUUCGACGGUAUCUAACCAGAAAGCCACGGCUAACUACGUGCCAGCAGCCGCGGUAAUACGUAGGUGGCAAGCGUUAUCCGGAUUUAUUGGGCGUAAAGGGAACGCAGGCGGUCUUUUAAGUCUGAUGUGAAAGCCUUCGGCUUAACCGGAGUAGUGCAUUGGAAACUGGGAGACUUGAGUGCAGAAGAGGAGAGUGGAACUCCAUGUGUAGCGGUGAAAUGCGUAGAUAUAUGGAAGAACACCAGUGGC
rnacentral:rRNA from 2 species